rnacentral:rRNA from 1 species
GACGAACCGUGCGAACGUUAUUCGGAUUCACUGGGCUUAAAGCGCGUGUAGGCGGGCCGAUACGUCUGUGGCUGAAAGCCCCCGGCUCAACCGGGGAAGUGGCCCGGAUACGGUUGGUCUGGAGGGGCAGAGGGGGAGCUGGAACUUCCGGUGGAGCGGUGAAAUGCGUUGAGAUCGGAAGGAACGCCCGUGGCGAAAGCGAGCUCCUGGAUGCCUUCUGACGCUGAGACGCGAAAGCCAGGGGAGCGAACGGG